UGAGGAAUAUUGGGCAAUGCCCGCAAGGGUGACCCAGCAACGCCGCGUGGAGGAUGAAUGUCGUAAGAUUGUAAACUCCUGUUAGAGGGAAGAAUAGUACCGGUUGGACCGGUAUAUGACUGUACCCUCAGAGAAAGCCCCGGCUAACUACGUGCCAGCAGCCGCGGUAAUACGUAGGGGGCAAGCGUUGUCCGGAUUUACUGGGUGUAAAGGGCGCGCAGGCGGGAUAAAAAGUCAGUGGUGAAAUCCUACAGCUUAACUGUAGAACUGCCUUUGAUACUUUUAUUCUUGAGUUCGGGAGAGAGGGACGGAAUUCCAGGUUUAGUGGUGAAAUACGUAGAUAUCUGGAAGAACACCAGUUGCGAAGGCGGUCUCUUGGUCCGACACUGACACUGAGGCGCGAAAGCGUGGGGAGCAAACA
rnacentral:rRNA from 1 species